UCAAGCGCGAAAAGGGCGUUUGGUGAAUGCCUUGGCAGUAAGAGGCGAUGAAGGACGUGAUACUCUGCGAUAAGCCAUGGGGAGCUGAGAAUAAGCUUUGAUCCAUGGAUUUCCGAAUGGGGCAACCCACCUGAUACUUUGUUGUUAUUGCAGCUUUGGUUGCAGCUAACAGCGGGGUUAACCAGGUAUUUCUAGACUGAAUACAUAGGUUUAGAAAAGCAAACCCGGGGAACUGAAACAUCUAAGUACCCGGAGGAAAGGAAAUCAACAGAUACUCCCCUAGUAGCGGCGAGCGAACGGGGACCAGCCGAGCCAUGAGAGUGACAAGAAUAUCCUGGAAAGGAUAGCCAGAGUGGGUGACAGCCCCGUAUUGGAAGCUCAAUUGGACGUAUUAAGUAGGGCGGGACACGUGAAAUCCUGUCUGAACAUCGGAGGACCACCUUCGAAGGCUAAGUACUCCUUACUGACCGAUAGUGAACCAGUACCGUGAGGGAAAGGUGAAAAGCACCCCGACGAGGGGAGUGAAACAGUUUCUGAAACCGGACGCCUACAAGCAGUCGGAGGGAUCUUGAGUCCUGACGGCGUACCUUUUGUAUAAUGGGUCAUCGACUUGGUCUCACGAGCAAGCUUAAGCCGAUAGGUGUAGGCGCAGCGAAAGCGAGUCUUAAUAGGGCGAUUGAGUUUGUGGGAUCAGACCCGAAACCGAGUGAUCUAGGCAUGUCCAGGAUGAAGGUUAGGUAACACUAACUGGAGGUCCGAACCCACACCUGUUGAAAAAGGUCGGGAUGAGGUGUGCCUAGGGGUGAAAGGCCAAUCAAACUCGGAGAUAGCUGGUUCUCUGCGAAAUCUAUUUAGGUAGAGCGUCGUCCGAAUACCCUCGGGGGUAGAGCACUGGAUGGGUAAUGGGGCCUUACCGGCUUACUGAUCCUAACCAAACUCCGAAUACCGAGGAGUACUAGACGGCAGACACACAUCGGGUGCUAACGUCCGGUGUGAAAAGGGAAACAACCCUGACCUACGACUAAGGCCCCUAAUUCAUGGCUAAGUGGGAAAGCAGGUGGGACGACCAAAACAACCAGGAGGUUGGCUUAGAAGCAGCCAUCCUUUAAAGAUAGCGUAACAGCUCACUGGUCUAAAUAAGUUGUCCUGCGGCGAAGAUGUAACGGGGCUCAAGCCAUGAGCCGAAGUCUAGGGUGUAUAGCAAUAUACGCGGUAGCAGAGCGUAGUGUGACAUAGUUCCUUGUCUCCUUACUUGGUUCGCCAAGAUUGGAGACGUGGAGCUUUCUGUGAAGCCCCCCUGUGAGGGAUGGGGUGGAGAGAUCACUAGUGAGAAUGAUGACAUGAGUAGCGACAAAGGGAGUGAGAGACUCCCUCGCCGAAAGUCCAAGGGUUCCUGCUUAAAGCUAAUCUGAGCAGGGUAAGCCGACCCCUAAGGCGAGGCCGAAAGGCGUAGUCGAUGGGAACCAGGUUAAUAUUCCUGGGCCGUGGAGUGGUGACGGAUCUGAGACGUAGUUCAUCCUUAUCGGAUUGAAUGGGCUGCUAACAGGUUCCUGGAAAUAGCCCUCCUUUAAGAUCGUACCCUAAACCGACACAGGUGGACUGGUAGAGAAUACCAAGGCGCUUGAGAGAACCACAUUUAAGGAACUCGGCAAAAUACCUCCGUAAGUUCGCGAGAAGGAGGCCCGUUCAGAACGCAAGUUUUGGGCGGGGGCACAAACCAGGGGGUGGCGACUGUUUACUAAAAACACAGGGCUCUGCGAAGUCGUAAGACGACGUAUAGGGUCUGACGCCUGCCCGGUGCCUGAAGGUUAAAAGGAGGAGUGCAAGCUCCGAAUUGAAGCCCAGGUAAACGGCGGCCGUAACUAUAACGGUCCUAAGGUAGCGAAAUUCCUUGUCGGGUAAGUUCCGACCUGCACGAAUGGCGU
rnacentral:rRNA from 1 species